GACGAACCGUCCAAACGUUAUUCGGAAUUACUGGGCUUAAAGGGUGCGUAGGCGGCGCUACAAGUCGGGUGUGAAAUCCCUCAGCUUAACUGAGGAACUGCGCCCGAAACUGUAGUGCUGGAGUGAGGCAGGGGUGAGCGGAACUGAUGGUGGAGCGGUGAAAUGUGUUGAUAUUGGAAGGAACACCGGAGGCGAAAGCGGUGCACUGGGGCUGGUCUGACGCUGAGGCACGAAAGCCAGGGGAGCGAACGGG
rnacentral:rRNA from 1 species